rnacentral:rRNA from 1 species
AUUGAACGCUGGCGGCAUGCCUAACACAUGCAAGUCGAACGGGGCAGCAAUGCCUAGUGGCGGACGGGUGAGGAAUACGUAGGAAUCUGCCCUUAAGUGGGGGAUAACCAGUGGAAACCCUGACUAAUACCGCAUGAUCUCUUCGGAGCAAAGAGGGCGACCGCAAGGCCUCUCUCUUCUGGAUGAGCCCACGUCUGAUUAGCUGCUUGGUAGGGUAAAGGCCUACCAAGGCGACGAUCAGUAACUGGUCUGAGAGGAUGAUCAGUCACACCGGAACUGAGACACGGUCCGGACUCCUACGGGAGGCAGCAGUGAGGAAUAUUGGACAAUGGGCGCAAGCCUGAUCCAGCAAUGCCGCGUGUGUGAAGAAGGCCUUCGGGUUGUAAAGCACUUUAGCCUGGAAAGAAAAAACUUUGGUUAACACCCAAAGUCUUGACGGUACCAGGAGAAUAAGCACCGGCUAACUCUGUGCCAGCCGCCGCGGUAAGAC